GGAGGGUGCGAGCGUUGUCCGGAAUCACUGGGCGUAAAGGGCGCGUAGGCGGCUUGAUAAGUAGGGGGUGAAAUCCCACGGCUCAACCGUGGGCCUGCCUCCUAAACUGUCGGGCUUGAGCACGGUAGAGGCAGAUGGAAUUCCCGGUGUAGCGGUGGAAUGCGUAGAUAUCGGGAAGAACACCAGUGGCGAAGGCGGUCUGCUGGGCCGUUGCUGACGCUGAGGCGCGACAGCGUGGGGAGCAAACAGGGAUUAGAUACCCUGGUAGUCCACGCCGUAAACGAUGGGCACUAGGCGUCGGGGGGGAGCGACCCCUCCCCGGUGCCCGUCGCUAACGCAGUAAGUGCCCCGCCUGGGGGAGUACGGCCGCAAGGCUG
rnacentral:rRNA from 1 species